UACCAGCAGUGGUACGACCACGGGGAGC
rnacentral:sRNA from 1 species